AGUGGGGUAGCUGGAUCAAAUGGUGGUUUCAUUCCAAGUUUUUAAAGGAAUCUCCAUAUUGCUCUUCAGAGUGGUUGCACCAAUUUGCAGUGCCACCAGCAAU
rnacentral:pre_miRNA from 1 species